rnacentral:lncRNA from 1 species
GCCCGGCCAAAAAAAAAAAAGUUCCCUGUGAAGUAUCAAAGCUCCCAUCAUCUAAAGAUUUUCCUGAAAUUACCUUGAUUGAAGUUCUACUUAUCAAGAAUUAGCCAUGAAAUCAAGAAACAUGCUAUUAAAUCUAGACCUACUACGCCAAGAACAGAUAGUGUUUAAAUAAUAAGCAAUGAUUAUAAAAAUUAUAAAAAAUUAUAGUA